AUUGAACGCUGGCGGCAGGCUUAACACAUGCAAGUCGAGCGAGCGGCGGACGGGUGAGUAAUGUCUGGGAAACUGCCUGAUGGAGGGGGAUAACUACUGGAAACGGUAGCUAAUACCGCAUACCAUCAGAUGUGCCCAGAUGGGAUUAGCUAGUAGGUGGGUGAAUGGCUCACCUAGGCGACGAUCCCUAGCUGGUCUGAGAGGAUGACCAGCCACACUGGAACUGAGAAACGGUCCAGACUCAUACGGGAGGCAGCAGUGGGGAAUAUUGCACAAUGGGAGAAAGCCUGAUGCAGACAUGCCGCGUGUGUGAAGAAGGCCUUCGGGUUGUAAAACACUGUCAGCGAGGAGGCGUUACUCGCAGAAGAAGCACCGGCUAACUCCUUGACAGCAGCGGCGGUAAUUC
rnacentral:rRNA from 1 species